GAUGAACGCUGGCGGCGUGCCUAAUACAUGCAAGUCGAGCGAACAGACGAGGAGCUUGCUCCUCUGACGUUAGCGGCGGACGGGUGAGUAACACGUGGAUAACCUACCUAUAAGACUGGGAUAACUUCGGGAAACCGGAGCUAAUACCGGAUAAUAUAUUGAACCGCAUGGUUCAAUAGUGAAAGACGGUUUUGCUGUCACUUAUAGAUGGAUCCGCGCCGCAUUAGCUAGUUGGUAAGGUAACGGCUUACCAAGGCAACGAUGCGUAGCCGACCUGAGAGGGUAAUCGGCCACACGGGAAGUGAGACACGGUCCAGACUCCUACGGGAGGCAGCAGUAGGGAAUCUUCCGCAAUGGGCGAAAGCCUGACGGAGCAACGCCGCGUGAGUGAUGAAGGUCUUCGGAUCGUAAAACUCUGUUAUUAGGGAAGAACAAAGGUGUAAGUAACUAUGCACGUCUUGACGGUACCUAAUCAGAAAGCCACGGCUAACUACGG
rnacentral:rRNA from 1 species